GUGGUAAGGGGUGAACAUCCUUGGGAAGCCACAGAGAGCAAGGCGCAGUUUUUCAUUGAUCACCACUUUCAAGAUGCUCCCAGAAUCGUGCUGUCUAGGAAGCCAUUUAAACUGGUGAGAAGCCAUCCUCUCUUGAAUGGGGGCUCCCACUGUACAUCUGGCACCCACUUCACAGAUUCUGGGGGAUGUCAACACCAGCACUGCUGAGCUGUGUGACCUUGAGCAAGACAGUUAGCCUCUCUGAACCUCAGUGUCCUUCUCUGUAGGCUGGAGAUUGAUAUACCUUCAUUAUCGGGGUAUGAGAGUGUUAUAAAUCCAUGAACUGGAAGAUGCUUUCUUAUAACUCAGAGAAAAGAGAUGAAAAUGAAUCAAAGAACAGGAAGGAGACAAGCUCAGGAGUGUGAAAACGGAUUAAUACGGAUUCCAUUAGCAGAAGCAGUUUUGGUGGGAAAAAGAUGAAGGGUGAAGAGGACUUUUACCUUAAAACAAUGAAGAGUCACCCUAAGAAGGAUGUGUGGAAGACUUGACUGGAGGAUCAAAAUGUGUCGGGGGAAGGUGUACAAGGAGGAGUAAGGACACAGAUGUCCUGACUUCACACAGUGGGGGAUUAGAAGCCACCAUCAAACACAGAUGAAACAGGAAUAAAAGUAGUAGUACAUUACUUAAGCUUUAAAAGGGUAAGACUCCUGGGAAUUUGGAAGCUGAGACUUGAGGAGCAGAGGCAUUUAGCUGUGUAAACACAGAGCUUCAGUGGCAGCACCCUAAAUGCUUAGCUGAUAGAUCCGGAAUUAAAUACAGACCUAGAAACUGGAGUUGGAAAACUUCCUGGCAGCACUCCUUCCCUGCCAUCCCGGUGAUCCCCUUCUGGAUGGAGGGUGUGGAGCUCAGCACAUUCACGUCUGCAGUUCUCAGAGAACCAAGUGUUAAGGAAUGUCAGGGAAGGAAGAAGGCAGCCAGCCAGGAAGGGGAGGUCCUGGCCUGAGCACGCCAGGCACAGAGGGAUAGAGGGUAGGGAGGAAACUGCACCUGUCUCCAACCCUCGACCCCAGCCCCGAAACACGACAUUGGCUGAAACAGAUUAAAAGCAUAAAAUGGCCCAAAGAAAUGGGAGAAGGUUGGCCUCUGGUCGGGCAAACAUGAGGGCAUGAAGAUAUAUAAUGUCCCACACGGGAGGAAACCCUUGCCGGGCCCCUCAGGAUUUAUAACAAGCUCACCUGAAGGAGAAACUUCAGGGGCACUUACACCAUCAGAUACCUAGAAAGGAGCUGUCAUUUCCUCACUGAAGAGUUUGCAAGCAGAUGGUAAAAGGGGUUUAAUUUGAAAACACUGAAACAUCGUGUUCGCUCAAAACCAUGACAAUUGCAGUUUUAUUGUCUCCACUCAGGAAAAUGUGUGUCUGGAUCAUCUUGUGGCCCGAAUGGGGAGAAAAGCAGCACAAGAAUGGAAUAGUACAGUGGCUACGAACACAGAAACCACACUCCAGGCCCAGUCCCCGGCAGUGGCCUCCAGGACCCACUCUGAGCUAGAUCACAUCAGUGAUGGGCUGGCCAAUCUUUAAGGAGAAUGACUCUACUCUUAGGAAGCCAGCAGGUUGGAGGAGGAAACACAUUCAAAUCCCGAGCACAAGGAGCUGGGAGAAGACCGGUUAUGGGAGCGGCAUUCCUGGAAGCUCUGAAGUCACAGCCCCACUGAUGAAAGGAUGUAAGAACCUAAGAGUGGAAACCUGCCCCUGGGAUUCAUAUGGUGUCCCCUCAGGACUCAAACCCUGGUCUGGUAUGCUCAGUAAAUGAAUGAAUAUACCCACUA
rnacentral:lncRNA from 1 species